ensembl:lncRNA
GACACGCAAAGAGAAGUGUGAAGCUGACACACGUUGUCCUGCACUUUGUCACGUGACCCCGACUUGUCUCGUGUCUGAGACGCGCCGUCUGCUCAGGGAGGCUGCGGCGCGGCGCCGUCAUUUUCCUUCACUUUCUUUCUUCAUCUUCUUCUUCUUCAUUUACCUCUCGGGAGGAAAAGGCUGCCGUGUCCCAGUCGUCGUGCCCCGCUUAUCAACGAGCUGCAGACAGCCGCUGUUAUCUAACGCCUCUGGAACGACGAUCCAAAUGGCCGAAAGGCACGAUCGAAUCUCCCUUUCACCAAACUUUAUUGACACGAAUCGCUCCUCGGCUGCCUGGCUGCUGAUAAACAAACAACUGCUUCCCCACCAGGCGCCUGCUGCGUGUCGCCUGUUGUUGGCGAGAGUCGAAGAACGGAGGAUGCGUGAGACCAUCGAGCAGCCGCGCCCUCACCCCAUCUGGGAUCACACAGCCGCAGCACAUGCCUUCUGAUUGAUUUAUUCAAGAUUAAUUGUUGCUUUGUCGGCUCAUUGCUUCCAACCGGUUCGCGUCAGAUGUCUGUGCUUUGCACUACAUUUGAACGCGGUGCAAACAAAGGGUCCUCCGCUCGUCUCGUCGCCACGAUGCAGCUACAGGUCGGCGCCAUGAAUUAGGCCACCAAUAAAGACAGACGAGUCUGGCCUCCAAGGCGAUUACAGAUCCAAAAUGAAUCUUUAAGCUUCAGCUAUUUAUGACUCUUGUUUCUUGAAAAUGAUACAAGCUCUCGCUAAUUGGAUUUGAUGGAGUCACAGAAGGGGACACGACUCCUUAAUUCAGUUCAUCUUCUGAAGGGUUCGGGGGAAUGUUGCAGU